AUUGAACGCUGGCGGCAGGCUUAACACAUGCAAGUCGAGCGGGGUGAUGGUGCUUGCACUAUCACUUAGCGGCGGACGGGUGAGUAAUGCUUAGGAAUCUGCCUAUUAGUGGGGGACAACAUCUCGAAAGGGAUGCUAACACCGCAUACGUCCUACGGGAGAAAGCAGGGGAUCACUUGUGACCUUGCGCUAAUAGAUGAGCCUAAGUCGGAUUAGCUAGUUGGUGGGGUAAAGGCCUACCAAGGCGACGAUCUGUAGUGGGUCUGAGAGGAUGAUCCGCCACACUGGGACUGAGACACGGCCCAGACUCCUACGGGAGGCAGCAGUGGGGAAUAUUGGACAAUGGGGGGAACCCUGAUCCAGCCAUGCCGCGUGUGUGAAGAAGGCCUUAUGGUUGUAAAGCACUUUAAGCGAGGAGGAGGCUCUUUUGGUUAAUACACAAGAUGAGUGGACGUUACUCGCAGAAUAAGCACCGGCUAACUCUGUGCCAGCAGCCGCAGUAA
rnacentral:rRNA from 1 species